rnacentral:rRNA from 1 species
UAGGGAAUCUUCGGCAAUGGGGGGAACCCUGACCGAGCAACGCCGCGUGAGUGAAGAAGGUUUUCGGAUCGUAAAGCUCUGUUGUUAAGGAAGAACGAGUGUGAGAAUGGAAAGUUCAUGCUGUGACGGUACUUAACCAGAAAGGGACGGCUAACUACGUGCCAGCAGCCGCGGUAAUACGAAGGUCCCGAGCGUUGUCCGGAUUUAUUGGGCGUAAAGCGAGCGCAGGCGGUUAGAAAAGUCUGAAGUGAAAGGCAGUGGCUCAACCAUUGUAGGCUUUGGAAACUGUUUAACUUGAGUGCAGAAGGGGAGAGUGGAAUUCCAUGUGUAGCGGUGAAAUGCGUAGAUAUAUGGAGGAACACCGGUGGCGAAAGCGGCUCUCUGGUCUGUAACUGACGCUGAGGCUCGAAAGCGUGGGGAGCGAACAGG